GACGAACGCUGGCGGCGUGCCUAAUACAUGCAAGUUGAGCGCUGAAGGUUGGUACUUGUACCAACUGGAUGAGCAGCGAACGGGUGAGUAACGCGUGGGGAAUCUGCCUUUGAGCGGGGGACAACAUUUGGAAACGAAUGCUAAUACCGCAUAAAAACUUUAAACACAAGUUUUAAGUUUGAAAGAUGCAAUUGCAUCACUCAAAGAUGAUCCCGCGUUGUAUUAGCUAGUUGGUGAGGUAAAGGCUCACCAAGGCGAUGAUACAUAGCCGACCUGAGAGGGUGAUCGGCCACAUUGGGACUGAGACGCGGCCCAAACGCCUACGGGAGGCAGCAGUAGGGAAUCUUCGGCAAUGGACGAAAGUCUGACCGAGCAACGCCGCGUGAGUGAAGAAGGUUUUCGGAUCGUAAAACUCUGUUGGUAGAGAAGAACGUUGGUGAGAGUGGAAAGCUCAUCAAGUGACGGUAACUACCCAGAAAGGGACGGCUAACUACGUG
rnacentral:rRNA from 1 species